GACGGGGGGGGCAAGCGUUAUUCGGAAUUAUUGGGCGUAAAGGGCGCGUAGGCGGCCGAUCAAGUCAGAUGUGAAAGUCCUGGGCUUAACCUGGGGACUGCAUUUGAUACUGAUUGGCUUGAAUGCAGGAGAGGAUAGCGGAAUUCCCAGUGUAGAGGUGAAAUUCGUAGAUAUUGGGAAGAACACCGGUGGCGAAGGCGGCUAUCUGGACUGUGAUUGACGCUGAGGCGCGAAAGCGUGGGGAGCAAACAGG
rnacentral:rRNA from 1 species